rnacentral:rRNA from 1 species
UACGUAGGGUGCAAGCGUUAAUCGGAAUUACUGGGCGUAAAGCGUGCGCAGGCGGUCUGUUAAGACCGAUGUGAAAUCCCCAGGCUUAACCUGGGAACUGCGUCGGAUACUGGAUGGCUUGAAUUCGGGAGAGGGAUGCGGAAUUCCAGGUGUAGCGGUGAAAUGCGUAGAUAUCUGGAGGAACACCGGUGGCGAAGGCGGCAUCCUGGACCGAGAUUGACGCUGAGGCGCGAAAGCCAGGGAGCAAAGCGGG